rnacentral:rRNA from 1 species
CACGUAGGGUGCGAGCGUUGUCCGGAAUUAUUGGGCGUAAAGAGCUCGUAGGCGGUUUGUUGCGUCGGCUGUGAAAUCCCGAGGCUCAACCUCGGGUCUGCAGUCGAUACGAGCAAACUAGAGUGUUGCAGGGGAGACUGGAAUUCCUGGUGUAGCGGUGAAAUGCGCAGAUAUCAGGAGGAACACCGGUGGCGAAGGCGGGUCUCUGGGCCGUGACUGACGCUGAGGAGCGAAAGCGUGGGUAGCGAACAGG